UACGGAGGGGGCCAGCGUUGCUCGGAAUCACUGGGCGUAAAGCGCACGUAGGCGGACUCUUAAGUCAGGGGUGAAAUCCUGGAGCUCAACUCCAGAACUGCCUUUGAUACUGGGAGUCUUGAGUUCGGGAGAGGUGAGUGGAACUGCGAGUGUAGAGGUGAAAUGCGCAGAUAUCUUGAGGAACACCGGUGGCGAAGGCGGGUCUCUGGGCCGAUACUGACGCUGAGGAGCGAAAGCGUGGGGAGCGAACAGG
rnacentral:rRNA from 1 species